GACGAACGCUGGCGGCAGGCCUAACACAUGCAAGUCGAGCGGAUGACGGGAGCUUGCUCCUUGAUUCAGCGGCGGACGGGUGAGUAAUGCCUAGGAAUCUGCCUGGUAGUGGGGGACAACGUUUCGAAAGGAACGCUAAUACCGCAUACGUCCUACGGGAGAGAGCAGGGGACCUUCGGGCCUUGCGCUAUCAGAUGAGCCUAGGUCGGAUUAGCUAGUAGGUGAGGUAAUGGCUCACCUAGGCGACGAUCCGUAACUGGUCUGAGAGGAUGAGCAGUCACACUGGAACUGAGACACGGUCCAGACUCCUACGGGAGGCAGCAGUGGGGAAUAUUGGACAAUGGGCGAAAGCCUGAUCCAGCCAUGCCGCGUGUGUGAAGAAGGUCUUCGGAUUGUAAAGCACUUUAAGUUGGGAGGAAGGGCAGUAAGCUAAUACCUUGCUGUUUUGACGUUACCGACAGAAUAAGCACCGGCUAACUCUGUGCCAGCCGCCGCGGUAAAAC
rnacentral:rRNA from 1 species